AUGUUGCAUGAAUUAAAAGACCUGUGUAAGAAUGUGGUCUUGACAGACCAAGAGGAUAGGUGUAGCUGGCUCCUGAAUAAAACUGCUAGAUUCACUAUCAGAUCUUUGUAUCUAACUUUGAAAUCGAGUCAGGGACCUUGGCCUCAUAGAAAGUUAUGGUAUGCAAAAAUCCCGCUGAAAAUUAAAGUUUUCCUUUGGCUUGUCUUCAAGAAUAGCAUUUUAACUAGAGAUAAUCUAGCAAAGAGGAAUUGGAAAGGUAAAGAUGUUAGCUGCAGCUUUUGUGAUCAUAAUGAAAAUGUAGAGCACCUUUCUUGUAACUGUGUGGUUGCCAAGUUUGUUUGGGGAGUAGUUGGAAGUGUGACUGGGUUGGCUAAUAUUCCUUGCAAGAUUGAAGAGUUUAGUGGAUGUAUAGAAAGUUUUCCUAAUAAGAAUCAGAGACAGGUGUUAGCAGUGGGUGUUGCGGCAGUGUUUUGGUCUUUGUGGAAAGACAAACCUCGGCCACUUUCCAUCAUGUUUACCCGCAUGAUCCUUGAAGGAAAUAUGCCCUAG
rnacentral:rRNA from 1 species